rnacentral:rRNA from 1 species
AUGCACAGAGGAAGAGAACGAACUUCAUAUAUCCCUUUUUUACUCAAUCAGGAAACAAGAUCGGACGUGAUUCCGGUUCGUCUCCAUUUUAGUGACACUCUUCCUCAAGCAAGGCAGCCGAUAAGUCAUCGAAGGGUUUGUUUGAAUAAUGGACUGGUAACCAUUACUCAUUUGAAAGUUUCCCACGGUGAUCUAAUAUCUUUAAAGAAAAUGAUGCGAGAACCCGCGGUUUUGAAAUAA